rnacentral:lncRNA from 1 species
GAAAACCAAAAGGUAAGACUUGAGGCACAGUUGUGAUAUUGGCCGAAGGCCCUCCGAUACUAAAGUUAGCCGAAGGCAAGAGGAGUUAGCUACUGGCAAAGUAAGGACAUAAUUGUUGAAUGGCUAUUACCUAGUACCUUGGGGGCAAUAAGCUCAAUUUAUAAACGUUUUGGGGUGUGCUCUUGGUGUAAACUUUCGAUGUGGGACUCAUGGGGGAAGCUUGGGAGGCUGCCAC